UCUCUUGGAGAGUUUGAUCCUGGCUCAGGACGAACGCUGGCGGCGUGCUUAACACAUGCAAGUCAAGGGGGGCCCGCAAGGGUCAACCGGC
rnacentral:rRNA from 1 species